rnacentral:rRNA from 1 species
UUGACGGGGAGCACCACAACAGGUGGAGCCUGUCGGUUUAAUCGGACUCAACGCCGGGAAACUCACCAGAUAAGACAGCUGAAUGAUAGUCGGGCUGAAGACUCUACUUGACUAGCUGGAGAGGAGGUGCAUGGCCGUCGUCAGUUCGUACUGUGAAGCAUCCUGUUAAGUCAGGCAACGAGCGAGACCCACGCCAACAGUUGCCAGCUCGUCCUCCGGGAUGGUGGGGACACUGUGGGACCGCCGCUGCUAAAGCGGAGGAAGGAAUGGGCAACGGUAGGUCAGUAUGCCCCGAAUAUCCCGGGCUACACGCGAGCUACAAUGGUUGGUACAAUGGGUAUCUACCCGAAAGGGGACGGGAAUCUCCUAAAACCAAUCUUAGUUCGGAUUGAGGGCUGCAACUCGCCCUCAUGAAGCUGGAAUCCGUAGUAAUCGCGUUUCAACAGAACGCGGUGAAUACGUCCCUGCUCCUU